AACGAACGCUGGCAGCAGGCUUAACACAUGCAAGUCGAACGAGAUCUUCGGAUCUAGUGGCAGACGGGUGAGGAACACGUGGGAACAUCCCUUUCAGUUCGGAAUAACGUUGGGAAACUAACGCUAAUACCGGAUACGUCCUUCGGGAGAAAGAUUUAUCGCUGAAAGAUUGGCCCGCGUCUGAUUAGCUAGUUGGUGAGGUAACGGCUCACCAAGGCUACGAUCAGUAGCCGAUCUGAGAGGAUGAUCGGCCACAUUGGGACUGAGACACGGCCCAAACUCCUACGGGAGGCAGCAGUGGGGAAUAUUGGACAAUGGGCGCAAGCCUGAUCCAGCCAUGCCGCGUGAGUGAUGACGGCCUUCGGGUUGUAAAGCUCUUUUGUCCGGGAAGAUAAUGACUGUACCGGAAGAAUAAGCCCCGGCAAACUUCGUGCCAGCCGCCGCCGUAA
rnacentral:rRNA from 1 species